rnacentral:tRNA from 1 species
GAUAGCGUGCCGACGCGGUCUAAGCGCUGGAUUAAGGCUCCAGUCUCUUCGGAGGCGUGGGUUCGAAUCCCACAGCUGUCA